CCUACGGGCGGCAGCAGUGAGGAAUAUUGGUCAAUGGACGAGAGUCUGAACCAGCCAAGUAGCGUGAAGGAUGACUGCCCUAUGGGUUGUAAACUUCUUUUAUAUGGGAAUAAAAUGUUCCACGUGUGGGAUUUUGUAUGUACCAUAUGAAUAAGGAUCGGCUAACUCCGUGCCAGCAGCCGCGGUAAUACGGAGGAUCCGAGCGUUAUCCGGAUUUAUUGGGUUUAAAGGGAGCGUAGGUGGAUUGUUAAGUCAGUUGUGAAAGUUUGGGGCUCAACCGUAGAAUUGCAGUUGAAACUGGCAGUCUUGAGUACAGUAGAGGUGGGCGGAAUUCGUGGUGUAGCGGUGAAAUGCUUAGAUAUCACGAAGAACUCCGAUUGCGAAGGCAGUUCACUGGACUGCAACUGACACUGAGGCUCGAAAGUGUGGGUAUCAAACAGGAUUAGAUACCCCAGUAGUC
rnacentral:rRNA from 1 species